GACGAACGCUGGCGGCGUGCUUAACACAUGCCAGUCGAACGGAAAGGCCCUGCUUUUGUGGGGUGCUCGAGUGGCGAACGGGUGAGUAACACGUGAGUAACCUGCCCUUGACUUUGGGAUAACUUCAGGAAACUGGGGCUAAUACCGGAUAGGAGCUCCUGCUGCAUGGUGGGGGUUGGAAAGUUUCGGCGGUUGGGGAUGGACUCGCGGCUUAUCAGCUUGUUGGUGGGGUAGUGGCUUACCAAGGCUUUGACGGGUAGCCGGCCUGAGAGGGUGACCGGCCACAUUGGGACGGAGAUACGGCCCAGACUCCUACGGGAGGCAGCAGUGGGGAAUAGUGCACAAUGGGCGGAAGCCUGAUGCAGCAACGCCGCGUGCGGGAUGACGGCCUUCGGGUUGUAAACCGAUUUCGCCUGUGACGAAGCGUGAGUGACGGUAAUGGGUAAAGAAGCACCGGCUAACUACGUG
rnacentral:rRNA from 1 species